rnacentral:rRNA from 1 species
GUGGGGAAUUUUGGACAAUGGGCGCAAGCCUGAUCCAGCAAUGCCGCGUGCAGGAAGAAGGCCUUCGGGUUGUAAACUGCUUUUGUACGGAACGAAACGGUCCGGGUUAAUACCCUGGGCUAAUGACGGUACCGUAAGAAUAAGCACCGGCUAACUACGUGCCAGCAGCCGCGGUAAUACGUAGGGUGCAAGCGUUAAUCGGAAUUACUGGGCGUAAAGCGUGCGCAGGCGGUUUUGUAAGACAGGCGUGAAAGCCCCGGGCUCAACCUGGGAAUUGCGCUUGUGACUGCAAGGCUGGAGUGCGGCAGAGGGGGAUGGAAUUCCGCGUGUAGCAGUGAAAUGCGUAGAUAUGCGGAGGAACACCGAUGGCGAAGGCAAUCCCCUGGGCCUGCACUGACGCUCAUGCACGAAAGCGUGGGGAGCAAACAGGAUUAGAAACCCUGGUAGUCC